AGUGCCUAACCACUGUGCCACCCACCGGGACUGCCCUAGAAAUACAUUUUAACCCUAAUUGUAAUUUGGAUAGGGUGGUCUAAAUUUUUCUGAUGUUUGUCUUUGUUCUGUCUCAGUGUCUUCAUACCUGAAAUACCCUCAAACCCUAAUCAGGGACCUUCAGUCUCUCCCUGCUUAGACCUUAACCCUUUCCCUACUCAGAACCAUGUAACACCCUGGCCUGACCUCUGAGUCACUGCUCCUGGUGCUGCUGUAGUGGAUUCCUUCCUUUGAUGCUACUUAAGUACUAUGUUUAUCACUUGCCCUUCGUUGGUGGAUAUUGUAAAAUUUGAGACUUUCUGCCAUGAAUUAUUUUUAAUAUUACAGAGUCCAUAAAGUACACAAAGUGGGAACCAUAGAGUCAUGAGUAGGAAAACCUGCCAGUGCUACCACCAUUACCACUCAUUUUGUUGUGCUCAAAUGAUAUCUGUUUUUUUUUUUUUUAAGAUUUUAUUUAUUUAUUAGAGAGAGAUAGGAGAGGAAGCAUGAGCAGGGGGUGGAGGAAAGAGGGAGAAGCAGGCUCCCUCCUGAACUGGGAAUCCCCUUGCAGGGCUUAACCCCAGGAUCCUGUGAUCAUAACCUGAGCCAAAGGCAGAUGCUUAAUCUACUGAGACACCCAGUCUUAUAUUCAAAAUAUAAAUUCCAUUAUGUUCAAUAGUUUAAAACUAGGAGUGGCUUAAAAUUGAUUUUCAAAUAUUGUAAGAACUGUCCAGAAGAAAUAUUUUACCUCUUCCAUGAGCUGGAGAAUGACCACACUGCAACAUGAGGAGCUCUAGUCUAGUAUGAUCUAUCAUACUUUUGUAUCUUCUUUACCAGUCCUGCUGGAUUGUUCAAUAAUUCCUUUUAGAUUAGGUUCAAAGUUUUCUGACUGGUUGUCAGUGCUUCCCAACCUAUUUAGUUUUUUGUACUGGUUUAAAAUCUCUGAAAAGAGAAUAAAAGUUAGAGUAGAGGGAGAGUUAGAGAGAGGUAUAGCCCUAGAGAAGGAGACAAGCUUGAAAGAGGGAGACAUAAACUGAGGUAAAAUGACAAAGACAUUUCCCAGAAUCCUGAAAAAUCUCAAGGCAAGUCGACAGAAGGACUGUGGAGAGAAACACAAGUGUGAAAUCAGUCAAGAAGAAGGAACAUUGGUUUUUACAUGCAUAUUAUUCAUUUAAUAGAUCUUAGCAUCUUUGAUGGGUUGGCUAUUAGGAGGGUUUAUUGAUUAUACUGCUUUUGUAUCCCUAUGUUUGAGUGUUAAUCUGAUGUAUUUCCAGUGUCUUAGAUUUCAAGAUUUCAUUGGGUUACCAAAGGCUGCUCAAAAUAAGAGAAGCAAACACAGUAUAAAAUACAAUACUUGUAUUGCAGGUGACUUGAAGUUCAAGCAAGGGAAAGUGCUGUCCAAAUGCCAGGAAGAAGUUGAAGCCUUUUAAAAUCAUGCUAUGGCUAAUUUGGGAGAAUCUAGGCCUCUACAAUCCAGCCCACUUUUCAGCAGCUCUUCCUGUUAGCCUCCUCAAGCAUAUCCAUAGCAAGCCUUCUAAGCUUUCAAAAUUCAACUUUGAAAACAAAUCUCAAGCAAAGGAAUCCACUAAGCAAUCCCAGAUGUUUUCAGAAGCAAUGGAGGAGUAUCUAGAGUCAUCAGCUGAUCACCAGAGGAUCUCCUGAACAUCUCUGCCAUCCACUUGGAAUGAUUUUUCUUCUGAAAAGCAAAAAACAAAACAGGGCACCUGGAGAGGGGCAGAGGGAGAGAGAGGGAAUUUCAAGCAAGCCCCACAUCUAUUGCAGAGCUCAGUGACAUACUUGGCCUCACAACCCUCAGAUCGUGACCUGAGCCAAAAUCAAGAGUUGGAUGCUUAAUGAACUGAGCCACGCAGAUCUUUAUAUUACAGCAAGUUUUGAGGGAGAAGUUCGAAGCACCAGGAGACGGAAAGAAGUGGUUUGAUGGAAUAGAAUAAAGAAUUUAGGAAGGAAGGGAAAAUGGGAGAUGCUGGAAGAGAAUCUUUGCUUUAGCCUUGAGCUGGCAAAAUUUCACCACUGAUAAUACAAAAUGGUACCAUGAAAUCAAGAGGGUGACCUAGACAAAUCUUCUUGUCAAAUGUUCAUCUUUCCUGGGUUGGCCUUCUGCCACACUGGCACCUGAAAUGUAGCAAACAAUGUCAUUGGAUGCUGAAGGUGUGACCAGCCUUAGGAGAGAAGCAGGGUUUCAGGUGCAUCUACAAGCUGCAAUAGUAAGUAAUCUGUGGAUAUUAUAUUUAAAAAGAAAAGCAUCGAUGAGGAGAACUUUAGAAUGAUUCCCUUAUAGUAACACACCCAAAAGGAAAAGAAAAAUAAUCACGAUUGAAACAUUAAAGAGCAAUUUUGCAUUUUUGUGCCUGUUAAAGGAAGAGGUGGGGACUCUGUAAAACAUCUGAGAAAGAUGAAUGCUCUGAAGAACAGAGGCCAGGAGAC